CUGAAACAGUCACUGAUCCCAACACUAAGCAGAAAAGCCUCUCUGGGGUGUUAGGGAUCAUAUGAUUAUAUGAGGUUGGGACAAAAUCCUGGAGAAACAAAAGCAGAAGCUCUCAGGGACAGAAAUAAUUAAAGCAAGAACUAGGAUUUUGAUGAAAAUGCCCUGGAGUUCUGAUGUGACUUUCUCUAUCCUGAUCCAACUCAUUCAAAUCCAAGACAAAAAAAGACAAAAAAAGAGAAGAGAAGAGAAGAGAAGAGAAGAGAAGAGAAGAGAAGAGAAGAGAAGAGAAGAGAAGAGAAGAGAAGAGAAGAGAAGAAAAAAAAAGAAAAGAAAAGAAAAGA
rnacentral:lncRNA from 1 species